UCUAAUUACUAAUAAUUAGGUGA
rnacentral:piRNA from 1 species